AUGAAAAAUCUGCUUAAAUUUCUCAAUAAGGAGGAUAUACCUUGGAUUAAUUUGAUCUGGGAGAAAUAUUACCACACUGAACUGCCAAGAAGGAAAGUUGAAGGCUCUUUCUGGUGGAAGUCUCAUAUUGCUCUCCUGGAGAGAUUCAAACAAAUCAGCAAAUGCUCCAUUGGGUCAGGACAAUCUAUUCUCUGUUGGUCAGAUACUUGGUUGGAACAGCAGCUCCAAUCUUUGCUCCCUCACCUUCACUCCUUUGCCCUUCAUGAGGAUCAAUCGGUACUAAGUUUCUUUCAGGAGGAAAAUUGGAUUGAUCAGUUCCAUUUACCUCUCUCUGUAGUAGCAUUUGAAGAAUUCAACCAGCUCCCCUCUUUGGCUCCGACCUUAGACCCACAAGUUAAAGAUAGGUGGAACAUUAUUGGUGCUUCUGGCAGGCCCUCUUCAAUUCUGAUCUAUAAUUUGCUUCUGGACAAUCAUGAGGAGCAUCCGUUUUUCAGUCUCAUUUGGGAUAGCUCCAGCAGGCUAAAGCAUAAAAUCUUUUUUUGGUUGGUAGCUCACUGUCGAAUCAACACUAGGGCUCUUCUUCUAAGGAAAGGCAUGCACCUUGAUGAUACCUUUUGCCCUAACUGUAGUCAGCAAGCAGAAGAAACUCCUAUGCAUUUAUUGUGGGAUUGCAGUUUUGCGCAAGACUGCUGGAACUCUCUGAUUCCAAACAGACGAAGAGGAACUUCUGUUUAUGAGGACACCAUCUUGGCCAUGCAGCUCCUUCCAAAACAAUUUGCUGUCGAAAUCCUUAUUUUGGGUUGUUGGAACAUUUGGAUUCAGCGAAAUAACUUUGUGUUCAGAGCACUUCCUCAUUCAAUUCAGUCUUGGAGAUACCACCUCAAGAAUGAUCUUAAGCUACUUCGACAUAAGAUCAAGCAAAAGUUUGCAGUUCGCUUUUCACAGUGGAUAGAUCAUAAUCUGUAA
rnacentral:rRNA from 1 species